GAUGAACGCUAGCUACAGGCUUAACACAUGCAAGUCGAGGGGCAGCAUAUUUAUAGCAAUAUAAAUGAUGGCGACCGGCGCACGGGUGAGUAACACGUAUCCAACCUGCCGUUUACUCGGGGAUAGCCUUUCGAAAGAAAGAUUAAUACCCGAUGGUAUAUAUUGAUUUCAUGGUCUUUAUAUUAAAGAAUUUCGGUAAACGAUGGGGAUGCGUUCCAUUAGGCAGUUGGCGGGGUAACGGCCCACCAAACCUACGAUGGAUAGGGGUUCUGAGAGGAAGGUCCCCCACAUUGGAACUGAGACACGGUCCAAACUCCUACGGGAGGCAGCAGUGGGGAAUAUUGCACAAUGGGCGCAAGCCUGAUGCAGCCAUGCCGCGUGUAUGAAGAAGGCCUUCGGGUUGUAAAGUACUUUCAGCGGGGAGGAAGGCGGUGGAGUUAAUAGCUUCAUCGAUUGACGUUACCCGCAGAAGAAGCACCGGCUAACUCCGUGCCAGCAGCCGCCGUAA
rnacentral:rRNA from 1 species